AUUGAACGCUGGCGGCAGGCCUAACACAUGCAAGUCGAGCGGGGUUUUCGGACCUAGCGGCGGACGGGUGAGUAAUGCGUAGGAAGCUACCCGAUAGAGGGGGAUACCAGUUGGAAACGACUGUUAAUACCGCAUAAUGUCUACGGACCAAAGUGUGGGACCUUCGGGCCACAUGCUAUCGGAUGCGCCUACGUGGGAUUAGCUAGUUGGUGGGGUAAUGGCUCACCAAGGCGACGAUCCCUAGCUGGUUUGAGAGGAUGAACAGCCACACUGGAACUGAGGCACGGCCCAGACUCCUACGGGAGGCAGCAGUGGGGAAUAUUGGACAAUGGGCGAAAGCCUGAUCCAGCAAUGCCGCGUGAGUGAUGAAGGCCUUAGGGUUGUAAAGCUCUUUUACCCGGGAUGAUAAUGACAGUACCGGAGAAUAAGCUCCGGCUAACUCCGUGCCAGCAGCCGCGGUAAUGUGACUACUG
rnacentral:rRNA from 1 species